rnacentral:rRNA from 1 species
GAUGAACGCUGGCGGCGUGCCUAAUACAUGCAAGUCGAGCGAACAGACGAGGAGCUUGCUCCUCUGACGUUAGCGGCGGACGGGUGAGUAACACGUGGAUAACCUACCUAUAAGACUGGGAUAACUUCGGGAAACCGGAGCUAAUACCGGAUAAUAUAUUGAACCGCAUGGUUCAAUAGUGAAAGACGGUUUUGCUGUCACUUAUAGAUUGAUCCGCGCCGCAUUAGCUAGUUGGUAAGGUAACGGCUUACCAAGGCAACGAUUCGUAGCCGACCUGAGAGGGUGAUCGGCCACACUGGAACUGAGACACGGUCCAGACUCCUACGGGAGGAAGCAGUAGGGAAUCUUCCGAAAUGGGCGAAAGCCUGACGGAGCAACGCCGCGUGAGUGAUGAAGGUCUUCGGAUCGUAAAACUCUGUUAUUAGGGAAGAACAAAUGUGUAAGUAACUAUGCACGUCUUGACGGUACCUAAUCAGAAAGCCACGGCUAACUACGUG